UUACUCCCUCGGGGGGGGCAGCAGUGGGGAAUAUUGCACAAUGGGCGCAAGCCUGAUGCAGCGACGCCGCGUGAGGGAUGACGGCCUUCGGGUUGUAAACCUCUUUCAGUAGGGAAGAAGCGUAAGUGACGGUACCUGCAGAAGAAGCGCCGGCUAACUACGUGCCAGCAGCCGCGGUAAUACGUAGGGCGCAAGCGUUAUCCGGAAUUAUUGGGCGUAAAGAGCUCGUAGGCGGUUUGUCGCGUCUGCCGUGAAAGUCCGGGGCUCAACUCCGGAUCUGCGGUGGGUACGGGCAGACUAGAGUGAUGUAGGGGAGACUGGAAUUCCUGGUGUAGCGGUGAAAUGCGCAGAUAUCAGGAGGAACACCGAUGGCGAAGGCAGGUCUCUGGGCAUAACUGACGCUGAGAGCGAAGCUGCUC
rnacentral:rRNA from 1 species